GAAAUGCGAUAAGUAAUGUGAAUUGCAGAAUUCAGUGAAUCAUCGAAUCUUUGAACGCACCUUGCGCUCCUUGGUAUUCCUUGGAGCAUGCCUGUUUGAGUAUCAUGGAAUCUUCAAAGUAAAUCUUUUGUUAACUCAAUUGGUUUCUACUUUGGUAUUGGAGGUCUUUGCAGCUUCACACCUGCUCCUCUUUGUUCAUUAGCUGGAUCUCAGUGUUAUGCUUGGUUCCACUCGGCGUGAUAAGUUAUCUAUCGCUGAGGACACUGUAAAAGGUGGCCAAGGUAAAUGCAGAUGAACCGCUUCUAAUAGUCCAUUGACUUGGACAAUACUUUUAUGAUCUGAUCUCAAAUCAGGUAGGACUACCCGCUGAACUUAAGC
rnacentral:misc_RNA from 1 species